AUCGUCUUGAUGAUGGGAACUCCUGUGAUCCUCAAGAUAAUCUUGACUGAUUGCAGCUCUCAGAGGCUGACUCUCCCUCAUGGACUCCCUGUAUCAGUUGAUGACCUCAAAGAUGAAGUCAAGAAACAGUGUGGACUUGAGGGCAAUUUCCGACUGCAGUUUAUGGACUCCUUGUUUGGAAAUGAAUUCCUUAACCUUACAUCAAUGACUGAAGUAGUGGACAAAGGUACUCAGAGUCUGUGAUGUGUCAAGGCCCACAACUAUUCUGAAUGACCAUGAGAGGUCUGCUGUUGCAGUCCUAAAUCCCCAGAUUUCUUACGCUCUAAAUGACUCCUCGUCCCUGUCCAGCGGAUAUGUGGAUACAGAUGUACAGUCAAUUGAGUCUACGAGCACACGGUCAUCUUGGCCUGCUGUUUUUCAUGUGCCCAAGUUCUCCUACGAUGUAGGAGGGCUUAACUUAUGUUCAAAAUGGCACUGUGCUUAUGCCAGAGCCGAAGUUGAAGUCAGCCAUCCUUGAUCGUUUAGUGCAGGAAAUAGUGAAGUAUAAAGUCUAUGUCACUGAUAAGGAGAUGGAAGAGUUGGCACAAAGUCUUAUCAAAACACAUCCGUGUUCAUCUGAGAAGGGGUCCUGCACUGGAUGUGGCGGAUGGAAGACCAGUUUAAAGUAUAAACUAUGAAGUCUCUGAGAUCAAUUCUGAAUUUAAGAGAAUCACGACCAAGCCACUACAAUCAAAAUUCCUGUCUCAGCAGGACUUCCACUCUGGCACCCUGAUGAAGCUGUUCCAAAAGCGAGGAGGACAGCAUGGGGGAAGGCUGGAAACAAUAAUUGUGCAAAUGGCUAAUUGUGAUGAUGUAGAUGCUGGACGUGAGUCUAUCAUCAAGGGACUAUGCAUCUCCAUGGGGGAAGAUCCAAAAGACCUUGUGCGAGAAUAUGUGGACACAGAUGAAGGCGCCAUCAAGGACACGACUGUGGGGAUUUAUGUUCUUAAAGAUGCUUCCACUGAUGAACCGGAGGACAUCGGGAUCGUUCUAGAAGGCGUCAAAGUCUUGACAAAUCUGGAUAAUGUAGCAUUAGCUUUUGUAAUGCUGUUCAGACUAAUAUAUAGUUCGGCGAAUAUCAGCUACCCUGCUGACCUCCGCUACACCUUUGAAGUAGUCCAAAGCAUUAUAAUGGAACUGGACUGCGGUAAGCUCUCAAACAAAGCAACUGCUCUGAAAAACAGGCUCCUUCAGUGAAACGGUUCAGAGACUGCUGCAUGCAAGAAACCCCAAACAAUUGAAUCUGUUCUUUUUUCUCUGUUAUGUUUUAGGAUUUGUUGUUACUUCGUUACAACUUGUGUUUUUAACCUGAGACCAUUUUAAAGACCAUUGCUGUCUUUAGUGUUUGAGACUCUAUUAUAAGAAACCUGUCAAUCCUGCAUGUGUCUGAAAUCUUUUAUCUAGCAUCCCCCCCCCUGCUCAGAAUUUAAGGAACUGUGCAACUGUUCACUCUUAUUGUUCCUUCAUAUAUUUCUUCUAGACUGAUGCCACCACAGGUCAUUUUAUGUCACAAAUGUUCAGGUUAAAGCAUAGUUCCAUGCUUUAAUUAUUCAAUGUUCCAUGCU